AGCAGCCGCGGUAAUUCCAGCUCCAAUAGCGUAUAUUAAAGUUGUUGCAGUUAAAAAGCUCGUAGUUGAAUUUUAGGCCUGGCCAGGCGGUCCGUCUUUGGCGAGUACUGUCUUGUUGUCGGGUCUUCCUUCUGGUGAACCAGUAUGCCCUUUAUUGGGUGUGUUGGGGAGCCAGGACCAUUACCUUGAAAAAAAUUUAGAGUGUUUUAAAAGCGGGCCUAUUGCUUGAAUAGAUUAGCAUGGAAUAAUAGAAUAGGACGUUGUGGUUCUAUUUUGUUGGUUUCUAGGAUCACCGUAAUGAUUAAUAGGGAUAGUUGGGGGCAUUAGUAUUCAAUUGUCGGAGGUGAAAUUCUUGGAUUUAUUGAAGACUAACUAUUGCGAAAGCAUUUGCCAAGGAUGUUUUCAUUAAUCAAGAACGAAAGUUAGGGGAUCGAAGACGAUCAGAUACCGUCGUAGUCUUAACCAUAAACUAUGCCGACUAGGAAUCGGGCGACGUUAUUUUCAUGACUCGCUCGGCGCC
rnacentral:rRNA from 1 species